ACAGCCCUUUUCAAGUCCAGCCACAAAUUCUCUAUAGGAUUGAGGUCUGGGCUUUGACUCGGCCACUCCAGAACAUUUACCUGGUUCUUUUUUAACCAUUCCUCUGUAGCUUUUGCAGUAUGUUUUGGAUCAUUGUCGUGCUGGAAAAUAAAUCUUCUCCCAAGACGUAGUUCUCUUGCAGACUGAAAAAGAUUGUCCCCCAGGAUUUCAGUGUAUUUUGCAGCAUUCAUUCUGCCCUCUAUCUUUACAAGCCUUCCAGGUCCAGUUGCUGAGAAACAUCCCUACAACAUGAUGCUGCCACCACCAUGCUUCACAGUGGGGAUGGUGUGUUUUUGGUGAUGUGCAGUGUUUGGUUUCCGCCAAACAUGACGUCUUGUCUGAUGGCCAAAAAGCUCAAUUUUGGUCUCAUCAGACCAAAGAAUCUUCUUCCACUUGACCAUGGAGUCUUCCACGUGCUUUUUGGCAAACUCUAGUUGAGAUCUAAUAUGACUUUUCUUCAACAGUGGCUUUCUCAUUGCCACUGUAACUCCAGAUCCAUAGUGCUGUCAGUGUUCAUUCAUGAACAAUUUGACGUUGUCAGCUGACAUUAGCCGUUUCGGAUUGGCUGUUGCUCCGCCGCGGCAUUGCUAAAUACUCCUGUGCGGAAAUGCACAGAAGGUCGGCUGCUGCUGUGGCUGGUGGCAUCGCGUGCAGCGUCUAGCAAAGACAAACGCAACUUACAAGCCUAUCUGAACACUUCACAUCCAUCUAAAGCACCGUGCUUGUUUGGUGACUCGCCCGGACUCCCGCUCUAAAACAGCGUGUUUUACGAACGCAGUCGCUCUAAGGUCAGGUUUUUUUUGUGUACCUCACAACCUGGAUCCCAAAGACUCCAAAUGAACAGAAUCUUCUUUAAUGAAGUGGCGAGCUGGUAGGAUUGUUUUUUUUUCUUCCCGUUUGAACUGUCAAUGGAAUAUGGACUGAAGGUCCCCCCCCCCCCCCCCCUUCCUAACUAAAAAAAAACUGAACUAAACUGAUCAAAACUUGAACUGAUCAAACUCAAGGUGAAACCUCAAGAGACUUUGAAACUUGAAAGAAAGUAAAAACCAAACUCUGGGUUAACCAGCAAAAGCUGUGAUUUUGUUUGUUUUUGUCCUAUUGUAUUGCCAUAUUAUUUGUCUACAUUGUUUUGUUUAUUUGUCCUAUAUAUAUUUUCAAUAAUACCAUUUUGUUCAAAGUUAUUCAUUUGUGGGGUUUUCUUUCACACCAUUUUGGCUCCAUAAAGAACUGGAUCUUCUGUCUUCUACACAUAUAGCUCAACUUCAUAUUGGUUACACCACUCUCCCAUAAAGCUUUGACCGGUGAAGAACCCGGGCAGCAGUUGCUACAUGCACAGUCUCUCCCAUCUCAGCAGCUGAAGCUUGUAACUCCUUCAGAGUAGUUGUAGGGGUCUUGGUGGCUUUUCGCACUGGUCUCCUACUUGCACGGUCACCCAGUUUACGAGGGCGGCCUGAUCUAGGCAGAUUCACACGAGUGCCAUAUUCCUUCCAUUUCCUGAUAAUUGAUUUCACUGAACUCCGGGGGAUGUUCAGUGCCUUGGAAAUUUUUUUGUAACCAUCCCCUGAAUUGUACUUCUCAAUAACCCUUUCCCUGAGUUGCUAAGAGUGUUCUUCUGUCUUCAUGGUGUAAUGGUAGCCAGUAAUACUGAUCAACCACUCUCUGGACCCUUCAGACACAGGUGUUUUACAACUCAAUCACUGGAAACACACCCACACCACUCAGGUGAUCUUCAUUUCACUAACUGUGAGACUGUUGGCAACAAUUUGAUGGACUUCUAUUGAAUUAGACCAUUAAAUUAAAAAGGGGGUGAAUAAUUAUGCAAACAAUUAUUUUCAUUUAUAUAAUUUUCUUUCAUUAACAUUAGUUUAUAGAGAUCUGUUUUCACUUUGACAUUAAAGAGUUUUUUCCAAUAUUUUUUUUUGUUAAAAGAGCUCAAUUUUAUUGACCAUGAUUGAUUUAUGAAAAAAAAUAAAAGGGUAAAACAGCAAAGGGGGUGAAUACUUAUGAUAGGCACUGUAACUGUUCAGUCUGUUUCUUCAGGAACACAGUAGGGUUAGAAAACUAAAGACACCUACAUAUUUUUUUUUAUAAGGAACUCUGGGUUAGCCUAUAUUUGGAAAACUGUAAACUCCAAAGCUGUUCUACUUGAUCAGACUAUCUAUCAAUAUUUUUGUUUUUGUGCUACAACUUGUCAUUCAUGGUAAAUCAGACAUGAAAAUCAAUUUUUGACCAAAUAUUUCGUAUUAACAGUAUGCUACAUGUGUGUGUACAUUGUGUUAUUGUGACAUCAGGAGCUGAUUUCUGCAUUAUCAUUAUUACUCUGCCAAGGAAGCGGAACCUCUGCAAUCAGCCUUGGUUUGUCUGUCUGUCUGUCUGUCAGCAACAUUACUCAAAAAUGGACUAAUGGAUUUCGAUUAAAUUUUCAAGGAAGGUCAGAAAUGACACAAGGACCAAGUGAUUAGAUUCUGGCAGUGAUGCAGCUUAUAGUCUGGAUCCAUGGAUUUAUUAAAUAUUUCUGUGUCAUUGCGAGAUAACGGCACUGUAACCAUGACAACAAGUGAACACUACAUCAGCUAACGAUCACAUGAUUGUGAUCCUACUACAAAUCCACUGUUGUGAACCAUGACUUUUUAAAAGAUUUUACCCGUUGGAAAUCAUACAACGACUGAGCAGACUUGGUGGAGUACUGUGCUCUCUGAGUGCUUCUCUUUUUUUGUAAAUUGUGCUCAUGGUUGGAACAUUUUAUGGCCCCUUCAAAUAUUUGUAAGUUUUCACCACACCCAUAAUCAGAGAUGAUUUAAUCUACUUGCCUAAUAUUUCAGAUUCUGAAUCAGUGGCCUGAUGAGAAAGUUCAGGCGUUUAACUUUAAUAUCUAUGAAGAUAUUCUUGUUCAAACAGCCUUAAAUUUGAAUUUGUGAGAAAUCCUGCUGAAAAUGGGUCAAUGGGUCAUUAAAAAAUUAAAAAUAAAAAUUUCAGAAAACAUUUGAUAUUUAAUUGUAAAAUUUCAUAGAUACUAUGAUAAAUAUUUGUAGUUUAUGGUAAAAAUGUUUCAAGCAAAUUAGAGAUGGUCGAGCAGAAGGCAAAAGAUGAACUGAAAUAGAAUAAGCCUAAAAAUACAUUGAAUGAAAGGAGCAGGGCCGGCCCUAGGACUUUGGUGGCCCUAAGCAAGAUUUUUUUUGUGGCCCCAAAACAUGCACAGGACAACUACCAAAUCACGUGCACAGCUUGUUGUAGCAAGACUGCAAAGGCCCUGGAAUUCCUGAGCUGAUCAAAACUCAGAUAAGCUCUCCCUCUCUCCAGCACUGACCAACACCCAUCUCUAUAGGAGGAUUGAGACAUUUGUAUUUCUGUAGGUUUUCAUUCACAGAAGGAUGGAGCUCCUGUGAACAUUUAAACCCCUGGAAUAACUUUUUCUUUUUUAAAGACAAUGACUUUCAAUUAUAUGCUAUGGAUGUUUGUUUAAUGAACUUUCAUGCUAAAAUCCCUUUUCAGCUUUCGGAGACCCUCAGCCGGAGAUGUCUCUGCAUUCCACAGAUCAGAUAACAAGUCGUAAAACUUUAUGGCAGAAGGCUGGAACAGAGAGAGACACACUCUUUAACUGAAGAAACUAAUUACUUCAAAGUUCAUAUUUCUGAGAUUUAUUUUGUUCUUUCCUGAUUACCAAAGUUAUAGUGAGAUUAUGUUGUACAUCAUAUCCAAAAAUGAUAUUUAUAUCUUUGACAGAAGCCUAGAUAUCGAAAUGCCUGGUUAAUUGACCCCUCCCACAGGAUUUUGGACUGAAUUCCCUUAUUAAUCUCUGAAUUUCCUUUCCAUUUAGGUUGAAUGAUGACCAUUGUACUUUCUUAUUACCAAAUCUCUGACUUGUUGUUAUAUUUUCACUGUGAUACAUAUUUUUAAUGUCAUAAACAUAUAGUUAUGAAUGAAAUGAUUCACAUCAUAUGAACAUAUGUAUUAAUCUACACGUGUUUCACUUUCACACAACUGAAUAUGGUGGGAUAGACAGAUCGUGUUUUGCGCAUUUAAUAUCAUAUUUUAAUCCAUUCUGGAUUCCUCUUUCUUCUCUACUCUGUGAGAACAAAGAGAUUCCAAAUUCCACCAGAGACUCGCGCCUAAAAGUUCUCUCUCUCCGCCCAGGUCCUCCCCUUAGCUGGACCCACAGAUAAAGUCAGCCGUAGCCCACAUCUCGCUCGCUUGCUCUCUCUUACCUUCUCUUACUCUAUUACCUAAGGAAUCCAUGACAGAGAUUCCCAUUAUUUUCUUACCUAAAGUGCGUUUUUUUCUAUCUUUGAAAUUCCCUCACCAUCUAAGUUUAACUAUUUAUCUCUUAAUAUUUUUGUAACUUAAGGAGACAUUUAGCUCGUUAUUCGUUUUAAUCUGAAGAACCAAUUCAGAACCAGCAUUUAUUUUUCUUAAUUGGACAGUUUUUCAUCAACACCCGUUUUUCUUGGCUAAAGCCUGAGAACCAUCAUUUUUAAGCCAAGCAACACUCAGCUGAGAACUCCGGAGACCUGCUGGACCAGGUCUUUGCAUAAGAAUAGAUCAACCCGCGGCAGGACAUCCAAGCGUGGCCACAACAACGACGACACACCGCUCCGAACCUGCAAGUCCGGACCGUGUGCUGCUUCUCUGAAGGUCCGCAAGUCCCAGCCCCAUGACGGUUCACUUCAAUAACUCCAGCUGAGUUUGCUCUGAUUCCAUUCUAUGGGUGAUGUACUAACCGCUUGGUCAUUUAAUUCAUUUAAUCAAUUUAUUCUUUUACAAAUCAUUAGAAUUCUUAAUCCAAAUUACCGAUUACCUCGUCAGGUUAGCUCUGGCUAAUCCUCACCAUAUUUCCUUCUCUCUCACACAUUCCACAUAUGCACACACACACACACAUGUAGUCCUGCACGCACACACACACACACACCAUAUCUACAUUGUAUAUAGUUCACUUGUCAUUAUUUUCAUAAAAUAGUUAAUAAAUACCUCAUUUUAGAUCAAACUACAGUCUUAAGUGUUUCUUUGUGUAGAAUGUGGUCAAUUUAACCGAGGAUUCAAGACUUUUUGAUAUGAGAUUGAUCAAAAUUUUUAUGAAUAUUAAUAAUUUUAUUAAUGUUAAUUAAUAAAUGUCCUAGCCAUUAGAAUGCUAGGUGGUGCCCCAAUUAUUAAUAACGAGAGCUAUAAAUCAUAACGUAGUACCCCUACAUUGUAAUUGGGUUAAAACACACAUGCACAUGAUUAACAGCAAACAUUUAUUUUUUUCAAAAUGUAUCUUUAAAACG